GACGAACGCUGGCGGCGUGCCUAACACAUGCAAGUCGAACGGUGAAGCCCUUCGGGGUGGAUCAGUGGCGAACGGGUGAGUAACACGUGAGCAACCUGCCCUCGACUCUGGGAUAACUACCGGAAACGGUGGCUAAUACCGGAUAUGACACCUGUGGGCAUCUGUGGGUGUGGAAAGUUUUUCGGUCGGGGAUGGGCUCGCGGCCUAUCAGCUUGUUGGUGGGGUGAUGGCCUACCAAGGCGGUGACGGGUAGCCGGCCUGAGAGGGCGACCGGCCACACUGGGACUGAGACACGGCCCAGACUCCUACGGGAGGCGGCAGUGGGGAAUAUUGCGCAAUGGGCGGAAGCCUGACGCAGCGACGCCGCGUGGGGGAUGAAGGCCUUCGGGUUGUAAACCUCUUUCAGCAGGGAAGAAGCGUGAGUGACGGUACCUGCAGAAGAAGCACCGGCUAACUACGUGCCAGCAGCCGCCGUAAAAC
rnacentral:rRNA from 1 species